GACGAACGCUGGCGGCGUGCUUAACACAUGCAAGUCGAACGGUAAGGCCCUUCGGGGUACACGAGUGGCGAACGGGUGAGUAACACGUGGGUGAUCUGCCCUGCACUUCGGGAUAAGCCUGGGCAACUGGGUCUAAUACCGGAUAGGACUCCUGCCUGCAUGGGUGGGGGUGGAAAGCUUUUCGGUGUGGGAUGGGCCCGCGGCCUAUCAGCUUGUUGGUGGGGUGAUGGCCUACCAAGGCGACGACGGGUAGCCGGCCUGAGAGGGUGACCGGCCACACUGGGACUGAGAUACGGCCCAGACUCCUACGGGAGGCAGCAGUGGGGAAUAUUGCACAAUGGGCGCAAGCCUGAUGCAGCGACGCCGCGUGAGGGAUGACGGCCUUCGGGUUGUAAACCUCUUUCAGCACCGACGAAGCGCAAGUGACGGUAGGUGCAGAAGAAGGACCGGCCAACUACGUGCCAGCCGCCGCAGUAA
rnacentral:rRNA from 1 species